UACGGAGGGUGCAAGCGUUAUCCGGAUUCACUGGGCUUAAAGGGUGCGUAGGCGGACUGGUAAGUCAGUGGUGAAAUCUCUGGGCUUAACUCAGAAACUGCCGUUGAUACUAUUUGUCUUGAAUGUCAUGGAGGUAAGCGGAAUAUGUCAUGUAGCGGUGAAAUGCUUAGAUAUGACAUAGAACACCGAUAGCGAAGGCAGCUUACUACAUGAAGAUUGACGCUGAGGCACGAAAGCGUGGGGAGCAAACAGG
rnacentral:rRNA from 1 species